ensembl:lncRNA
AGGGUCUUGAGGUCAGUUCUCAGAAGACAAGAAUAUGAGGAGGUGCUAGGAGGAGCCUUCGGGGUGAUAGCGGUGCAAUGGCAAGGAGAGGAAUGUCCAUCAGCAUCAAGGUUUCUCAGGAGGCAGAGCACUGUGUGCCCUCAUUUCCCCCUGAAGCCCUACAGGACGUUGCCCUGUAGCAAUGCUUCACACAGACCGCUCCUGGACUGGCACUACAGCCCUGCAGAGAGCUUGGCUGGAGAAACACAGCCCUGAUCAGCCUAUCCAUGGCCUCGUGGAUGGAGCACUGAAUUAUAGAAUCACAGAAUUGCUCAGGUUGGAAAAGACCUUCAAGAUCAUCGAGUCCAACCGCAGCCCAACCAUCCUACCCUAACUCUAACAACACUCCGCUAAAUCGUGGCCCUGAAGCCAAGCCCUGCCAGGGAUCGGAGGAAGCUUGGAGCGGAGGAAUGGCGCAGCUUUUGUGGUUUUCCAUCAUUUUGGAAGCAUGGGAAGCUGCUGUUCACCAGCACACGUAGCCAAAAGUGCAUUCCUAGGGCAGGAUCUGGGUAUGGGGCUGGGGCUGGGACAGGCAAGAGGAACCCCAACAGCCAUAACGGCUGGGGGAGGCUUUUGGCUUGACUCAACCCCAAGGGCAGUGCGGGGGUGGGUGGCAUUAGGAUACAUUUUCUGCCCACCUGAAACAAGAGCACUGAGAUUGUUCAGCUAACAGGAAAACACAGGUCAUAAAGUCCUACAGAACCACGACACGGUGCGGUGAUGUCUCCUUGCUUCUCCAACACCUGAUGUCCACAAAGCCUAAUUUGUACCAAGGCUACGCCAUCCCCCUGCCCAGUGACCCACCUUCAAUCAUACAAUCAUGGGAGAUCCAAGAAGCAGUGAAUUGCUUCAUGCAAAGGUAUGUCAAUGAGUCUCUCUUGAGGAGUCAGUGGCAGAGACUGGAGAUGAUCCAUUACACAGCCCGCAGUUUAUGAACUUGCCUCCAGCAGGUCCUAUUAUUCCAUUAGCUGGAAUUAGGGAGAAAACCAUUGUUAAACAGCUAAUUCAUCGAGACAGACCUUUACACAGUGACUAAACUUGAGGUUUGUUUGGAAAGUGGAGAUAAACGUGAGGAAAAAAUACCAUGCAGCCUCGAUGACUGUUCUUCUUUAUAUUUUCUUUGUCUGAAAAUUAUACUUCAGGCUCCAUUUAGCCCCUUUUUAGUCCGGAAGAUUAGGGAAACAAAAAAGAACACGUGUUGCAUUCAAAGUAAGCACAGUAGAUUUCUCUUCUGGCUAUAAAACUGAACCAAACCAUCAGUUUGAUCUCCUGGAGUGCCCCAGGGUAAAAAACUCCACUCCUCCCAAAUCAGUGCUCGUAUCACCAGAGAAGGUUCGCGCGCCAUCAGCAGAGAGAGAUUUCUUGCUCAUGGUUCUUCCCACCAUGAGCUGUGUGGGGUCGUGAUGUCCUAUGGAUGCUGCCUCCACCACUGAGGUGACUGAAACAUCACUGGGGUGUCCCUCUGCUUUGCAGAGGGGGGUGAAAAACCAGCUUCAUCCACACCUAGCAUCCCAUAGCCACCAGCAUCCCGCUGCUCAUCACUGGAGAUGCUCAUCAGACUCGCACCAAAGCAGUACCUUCCAGGAAACCCAAUGUAGAUUCAGCCACCCGUGUGCCCAGGGAUGGGGCUGGCUGUGUCCCAGGGAGCCCCAUUUUGUGACCUUGGUGAUCCCAUCAGUGGCUUCCCAGACACAGAGGUGCCGGUCACACCAGUUUGUUUUAGUGAGGUUGGACUAAGAGCUUCCCAUCAGUUUUGCAGUGCAGGCUGGAAACGUGAGCCCCCAGCACUCAUGCACUGCCCCUUCAGCCUCUUCUCACUGCUGCAUCCUCACCUUUACUUCCCACUCCACCUCAGCUCCUCCUUUGCGAGGUACAUCCCAACUCCCGCUGAAUUCAGUGCUUGGAAUGAAUAAAGCAUGGGAGACUUCCCCACCAUUUAGGCCAGCUUUGCCCCUCAAAUCACUCCCAGCAAUUAUUUCCAUGGGGAAAAGUCCAGAUGUUUCACAGAAUCACCAGGGUUGGAAAAGAGCUCCAAGACCAUCCAGUGCAACCAUCCACCACCACCAUUUCCCCCACUGAACCACGUCCAUUAGCACAACAUUUACGUGGUUCUUGAACACCUCCAGGGAUGGUGACUCAGCUUCAUGCCAAGAGGUUCCCAUCCCUUGGGAGAGAGUUCCCAUCCCUUGGGUGUAUUGAAGGAGAGGUGGAGAAAUGGGUUUUUCUCUAACUUCUGGCGUCGUGUCCGGCUGGAGAAUGGGAAAGGGCUAAGAGAAAAAACCACAAAACACAGCCUCGAGAAGCUGAAGAAUAAAACAAGGAAUAAAAACGAGAGAGAAAAGGAUGGGGGAUUCCUGGAAAAACAAACAACAAAGAAACCUGGCCUGGAAAUGAGGCACCACUUUGCACAUCCAGCGUGACUUUGGAAACUGCAGUCAGUGGUACUGCUGGGUACGACCGUCACCAACAGAUGGCAGAGAUGUCAGAAGUUUGGGGUCUGAGUGUUUCCCUUUAAAUGAAGUGCAGCUCUUGGUCUGUGUCCUGACCUAUUCGAGGCUCCGGAGCUGCCUUGCAUUCUUUGCUGCUUCUUCUCUAUGUUCGGGCAGCGAAUGAGCUUGAAAUAAACCCCAGCUGGAUGGGGCUGAGCCAGAACCACGCAGGAGAGGAGGGCGGCUCUGAGAGGCUUCAAUCCACACAUAUCUUUUAACCACAUCAUUCUCCUCGGAUUCUAACUAGGAGUAAUUACAGGGGGAUAUGAGACUCGUCCUGGAAGCCAACAGAAUCCAGGAGUGCAAACAGUAUAGAAAGACGGGCUCCAUUUGUGCGCGGCUGGCAAACACUCAGCGUUCCCCUGGAGGUGAUUAGGGGUGAGACAACGGUCCCCAUUCAUCACCUCCUCCCACUGUACCUCUCCCUUGCCUGCCUGGCCACCUCUGCUCCAUGCUGAACAAGAGACCUUGUGUGCAAAACCCGAGUCCAUCAGCGCCAACGCCUCCUCCAGGCUUUGAAACAGCUUUGCAUGCCACGGGUGCAAUGUAAGAGAGGUUUCAUUUGCUGUGCAUUGGCCAGGAGCAUGAGCUGUGCUGCUGCCCGGCAGCCUCAGAGGUGGAGGUGAAAAGGGUUGGAGCAAAGCUGGGCAUUCACAUUGGAGAAGGGGCAUUGACCAUGGUCCUGUGGUGCUGCAAAACACAAAGUGGGAGCCUGUCUGUGCCUGGGGUUUAUGCAGACUGACCAGAAGUAGGAGAGAAGAUGAGAUGCAGAAGCUUCUCCGUGGCUGUCAGGGACCACACAGCCUGCCAGAUCCGUGGAUGGAUGGAGGAGAUGCCUCUGUGGCUCCCUAUAAAGCACUCAGCAUCCUUUCGGAGUGGGCAUGCAGCACAAAGCAGCACAGGUUUCACAGCACGGGACACCCAGCUUCUGCUCUGCCCCAGCCUUGCACUCCGUGCCUCAGUUUCCCCGGUCCUUAAGCCAAUCAGCCUCACUUAGCUUUACAAAACCCGGAAAUCUGCAGCUGCAGACCUUGCUGUGGGAUGAGUCAGAUGUUCCAGCUCACAGCUGCUGAGCCCCGCGUGGCUGCGGCCGUCUCCCUGGGCUGCAUUUGUCCCUCUUCCUGCAGCCACAAGUAUCCGAGUGCCUGAGAGCCCCAUGAGCUUCCGGACCCAUUUGGGAAGAUGGGAAACCUUCUUAGAGGUUCAAAGCUUCUGUAAGCAACAGAGCUCCAUCUCCAUCAGUGUGUUAUGAAUGGAUAUAACCCCCGGUCUCUGCACUGGCAGAGGGAAGGAGAGAAAAGCCAGGGUGUAUUUCCCUGCAGUGGCCAAACUGCCCGUCAGCGCCCACAGCAGCUAAUGAACUCUAGGAACAGCUACUUGCCAAGGCUCGUGCUGCCAGGACAGCUGAGCACAACAAGGUUUGGCCACGUGUUUUGCAAGACGUGCUGCAUCCAGUGGCCGGAGGGCGAUUUGCAAAGAAAAAGCAGAGAAACGUUUGCAUUUGGGUGCAUUUCUGUGCUUUCGGCAAAGGCUGCAGACAGCUGGGGCUGAUUCUAAGAUGGGAAGCAGAGAAAGGUUCACUGGACGAUCAGCAGCAUUCCUCCCUGCAAGUAAUAAAAGAAGGAAAAUCGAAAUCUUGCCGUGGCUUUUGCUUCUAAAUUUAACACAGUUCUCCCCGAGGCACAAACGCAGCUCUGCACCACCAGC